rnacentral:rRNA from 2 species
CAAGGUGAAACCUAAUUGGCCUGAAGAAGAGCUUGCGUCUGAUUAGCUAGUUGGUGGGGUAAAGGCCUACCAAGGCGACGAUCAGUAGCUGGUCUGAGAGGAUGAGCAGCCACACUGGGACUGAGACACGGCCCAGACUCCUACGGGAGGCAGCAGUGGGGAAUUUUCCGCAAUGGGCGAAAGCCUGACGGAGCAACGCCGCGUGAGGGAGGAAGGUCUUUGGAUUGUAAACCUCUUUUCUCAAGGAAGAAGUUCUGACGGUACUUGAGGAAUCAGCCUCGGCUAACUCCGUGCCAGCAGCCGCGGUAAUACGGGGGAGGCAAGCGUUAUCCGGAAUUAUUGGGCGUAAAGCGUCCGCAGGUGGUCAGCCAAGUCUGCC